AAACCAUGAUGUGGACGCCUCCUCAAUAAUCCUUUGUAUCUUUCCCAAGCCUCAUAUAGUGAUUUUGUCUCUUCCUGUAGAAAAGAUGUGAUAUCAUUUCUCAACUU